UACGAAGGGGGCUAGCGUUGCUCGGAAUUACUGGGCGUAAAGCGCACGUAGGCGGCUUGUUAAGUCAGGGGUGAAAUUCUGGAGCUCAACUCCAGAACUGCCUUUGAUACUGGCGAGCUUGAGUUCGGGAGAGGUGAGUGGAACUGCGAGUGUAGAGGUGAAAUUCGUAGAUAUUCGCAAGAACACCAGUGGCGAAGGCGGCUCACUGGCCCGAUACUGACGCUGAGGUGCGAAAGCGUGGGGAGCAAACAGG
rnacentral:rRNA from 1 species